AUCAUACUCCCUCCGUCCAAAAAUACUUGUCGCAGAAAUGCUUGGAUGUAUCUAAGAACUAAAUUACAUCUAGAUACAUCCAUUCCUCCGACAAGUAUUUCCGGACGGAGGGAGUAGCAU
rfam:Triticum aestivum genome assembly, contig: Triticum_aestivum_CS42_TGACv1_scaffold_225331_3B